GUUCGCUUCGGCAGCACGUAUACUAAAAUUGGAACGAAACAAAGUAGAUUAGCAUGGCACCUGCGCAAGGAUGGCAGCAAAUUCGUGAAUCGUUCCAUAUUUUU